GACGAACGCUGGCGGCGUGCUUAACACAUGCAAGUCGAGCGAUGAAGCUCCUUCGGGAGUGGAUUAGCGGCGGACGGGUGAGUAACACGUGGGUAACCUGCCUCAUAGAGGGGAAUAGCCUUCCGAAAGGAAGAUUAAUACCGCAUAAGAUUGUAGUGCCGCAUGGUACAGCAAUUAAAGGAGUAAUCCGCUAUGAGAUGGACCCGCGUCGCAUUAGCUAGUUGGUGAGGUAACGGCUCACCAAGGCGACGAUGCGUAGCCGACCUGAGAGGGUGAUCGGCCACAUUGGGACUGAGACACGGCCCAGACUCCUACGGGAGGCAGCAGUGGGGAAUAUUGCACAAUGGGGGAAACCCUGAUGCAGCAACGCCGCGUGAGUGAUGACGGUCUUCGGAUUGUAAAGCUCUGUCUUCAGGGACGAUGAUGACGGUACCUGAGGAGGAAGCCACGGCUAACUACGUGCCAGCCGCCGCGGUAAAAC
rnacentral:rRNA from 1 species